UGGAUCGCACUUGGCUCUCAGAUGCGAUAGCGAGGGGAGCCAACAGGAUUAGAGACCCUGGUAGUCCUAGUCCUAAACGCUGGAUGCUAGGUGUAGGGCUGAUGAGACUUUGCGCAGGAAGUCACUCGAUAAGCAUGCCGCCUAGGAAGCAUUGCCCCAAUGGUAUAUCUCAAAGGAAUUGACGGGGCUCUGCACAAGCAGGGGAGUCUGUGGUUUAAUUCGGAAAUACAGGAAGAACCUUACUUGGGUUUGACAUGAUUGGUGGUACCGAACCGAAAGGGGAGGGACCUUUCGGGGAGCCAACACAGUUGCUGCAUGGCUGUAGUCAGCUGGUGCCAUGAGGUGUCGGGUUAAGUCCCGUAACGAGCGCAACCCUUGCUGUUAGUUAUACGUGUUUAAGGGGACUGCUGGUGACAAGCCGGAGGAAGGUGGGGACGAUUUCCAGUUUUUCAUGGCCUUGAUAUCCAAUUUUGUCACACAUGAGGGUAUGGGGGGUACAAUGGGCAGUCAAUUCCCGAGCUGGAGGGAAUCCCAGCAAAGCCCGUCCCAGUUUUUCAUGCAGAAAGCAACCCGCUUUCUUGAAGCGGAGGGGCGAUAACAAUGCGUCAGCCAUAGGGCGCAGGAUCAGUACCGGCUUGCCCUCCACCCCCCCAGUCGGGUCAUGGCAGUUGGCAACGCUUGACAAAGGUGCAUAACCGAAAGGAAGGGCCCGACAAAGGCGCAGCUCGUCACUUGAAGAAGUCUUACCACAAUAACCAAGGGCGAA
rnacentral:rRNA from 1 species